ACGAACGCUGGCGGCGUGCUUCACCCCUGCCAGUCGCACGGAAAGGCCCUGCUUUUGUGGGGUGCUCGAGUGGCGAACGGGUGAGUAACACGUGAGUAACCUGCCCUUGACUUUGGGAUAACUUCAGGAAACUGGGGCUAAUACCGGAUAGGAGCUCCUGCUGCAUGGUGGGGGUUGGAAAGUUUCGGCGGUUGGGGAUGGACUCGCGGCGUAUCAGCUUGUUGGUGGGGUAGUGGCUUACCAAGGCUUUGACGGGUAGCCGGCCUGAGAGGGUGACCGGCCACAUUGGGACUGAGAUACGGCCCAGACUCCUACGGGAGGCAGCAGUGGGGAAUAUUGCACAAUGGGCGGAAGCCUGAUGCAGCAACGCCGCGUGCGGGAUGACGGCCUUCGGGUUGUAAACCGCUUUCGCCUGUGACGAAGCGUGAGUGACGGUAAUGGGUAAAGAAGCACCGGCUAACUACGUG
rnacentral:rRNA from 1 species